AUGGGUCCUGGCAGAAGGCAGGGAGCCCUUUACAAACUAAAGCCUUGGGCGAAAAGCCAAGGGUCAUUGUCCAAGGUGAGGGCUGGGGCUGGAGACGCCCGCAUCCUCCUCCCCUGCUCGAGCCCCAGGCUUUCUGCAUCCGAUGGGGACUGUAACCUACCCCAGACAGGGGAGAGGGUUGAAGGGAGAAGCUGCAGUUCCUUGGAAUUUCCUAACACUGACUACCCGAAUUGGGUAAAAGGAUGCUGCCCCCUCACACCCAGAAGACUGGGCCAGAUUCUCCAGAGCUGCCACCUACUGGACCAGAAAUUAAGUUCGCGAGGGCGGGGUCCAUACCAGAGCCGGGGUCAUCGCAGGGCCAGGGUCCUAUCAGAUUGGCUCACACCAGGCAGGAUGCGGGGCUGCCCCUGUUCCCCCUCCGUACUGAGGGGGGUCCCCGAAGAGGAGAGGAACUACCACAAGGCUCCUAGGAAAGUCAUCAGCUUCAUCAUCCACUGGCUGCUGCUUUGUGACUGCAAGGCAACCACAGUAACUUGAGUCUAGAAGUUUGAGUCCAGCCCAGGCAACACAGGAAGACCCUAUCUCCAAAAAAAAAUUUUUUGAAUUCAGAAAGAGAACAAUCAAGGCGAGGACAAAUUAGCAAAGUAGAAGAUAACUUUGAGUAAAUCCAAUGUGGAGGAAAAUCAUCCCAUAGUGGGAAGAAGAUGUGAAAGACAGUCCUAGGAAGGGUAUCAUGUAAUGAACAGGAGCCCAGAGUCAGCUAGAAGAGAAACACAGAUUAAAGAAGAGCCAAAUAAUGUCCCUGAGCUGAGCUGUGCCAUGGUUCCAAACCCGGAUCCAGAGAAAGUCUUGCAAAAUUUCAGAAAGAGCAAGUCACAUCCAAAGGCAGGAGAAUCUGAGCUCCUCAGAUUCCUAGGGGACUUUGGAACAAGGUCCAGGCACUCUGGUUACACAAUCAAGGAUUCUUUCCAGGGGCUAUAAUGGGACUCAAUUGCCCUGGGCAAAAGAAGGGAUAUAUCCAACAUGGCAAGGCAGCGAGAAGGCACAUCUAUGCCUCUUUUCAGAGGAAAAACAGCUAUGAAGUUUUCCCCUCUCACAGACACAGCUCAGUCACAGUAGAGAUCAGAGAUAGGGAAGUUGCCCCAAACAGGAGGUGGUAGAGAGCAAUGACCCUUGUGAAAUGUAUGGUCUAACCUAAGAGUGUCUGUAAUUUUGUGCUGUGGUCAUUAAAUGAGGACUCUUGAAACAUAAGCCACAUGCUAUAGGGGAAAUCUGUAUUAGCCUUAAAAAAAAAAGUCUCUUAUGGAGAAGUCAGAACAGUCUACGCUCACAUCUGGUUGAGGAAGAGGGAGGAAGUAAGAGGGUCUGAUGUGGCACCUGGGAGAGACCAGAGAAGAAAGACUCAUGGCCAGGCACCCUUACCACUUACCUUUGUUUUUUUCUUUCUAUUUUUGGUAACAGGAAUUUUUGGUGACCUUAUUUAGAAAGAAGGCUUUGCAGAUCCAGUUAAGUCAAGGAUCUUGGAAUUCUAACCUGGGUUACUUGGGUGGGCCCAAAUUCUGAUCCGAGCACCCUUACAGGAGUGGAGAGGCAGAGGGAAAGUCGGCCACACAUGGAGAAGAGAAGGUGAUGUGAGGACAGAAGAGACAGCUGAAGGCCCUGGCCUUGGAGUGAUGCAGCCACAAGCCAAGGAGAGCUGGCUGGCCCCGGAAGCUGGAAGAGGCAAAGAACAGAUUCUGCCUGAUUUGGUCCUUGCAAUACUGAUUUCAGACUUCCGGCUACAGAACAGUGACAGAACACAUUUCCUUUCUGCUGCUGAGUUGUGGUAGUAUGCACCUGAAGUCACAGGAAACUCAGAUAAUCAGUCAUGUCAUGCCAGGGCUGUGGUCUUGCUGUAGUCUGGUGUCCAGCCAAGCACCUGUGGAUGAGCAGAGCAACCUCGGUGAAAACAGAACCAAGCCCUUGGCUCUUAAACAGAUUCCCAUCCAAAUCAAGGCAUCCACAGCCGAAUCACCUGUCUGAGGCCCAGC
rnacentral:lncRNA from 1 species